AUUGAACGCUGGCGGAAUGCUUUACACAUGCAAGUCGAACGAUGAAGUCUAGCUUGCUAGACGGAUUAGUGGCGAACGGGUGAGUAAUAUAUCGGAACGUAUCCAUUAAUGGGGGAUAACUAGUCGAAAGAUUGGCUAAUACCGCAUACGUCCUACGGGAGAAAGCUGGGGAUCGUAAGACCUGGCGUUAAUGGAGCGGCCGAUAUCUGAUUAGCUAGUUGGUGAGGUAAAGGCUCACCAAGGCGACGAUCAGUAGCUGGUCUGAGAGGACGACUCGCCACACUGGAACUGACACACGGUCGAGACUCCUACGGGAGGCAGCGGUGGGGAAUUUUGGACAAUGGGCGAAAGCCUGAUACAGCCAUUCCGCGUGAGUGAAGAAGGCCUUCGGGUUGUAAAGCUCUUUCGCAAAGGAAGAAAACUUAUCCUCUAACAUAGGGUGAGGUUGACGGUACCUUGAUAAGAAGCACCGGCUAACUACGUGCCAGCAGCCGCCGUAACAC
rnacentral:rRNA from 1 species